UUUUUUGCAAAGGGAUGACAACAACCUGUGAUGGGCUCAUGAUUCGGCUAGAGCCAGUUGCACAGAACUACUUUGGGCUCCAGCGGACUUCAGGUUGUCCAUGAACAGAUGCCUGCAUGUUGGCUAUGGGACAUAACCCUGUUUCAAAACCCCUGGAUUCUCAUUGUGUUGUCCUACACAAACAUACCUACACCAAGCUGGUGGAAAAGAAAUGGAGGGAAACAGACAAUGCACUUCCAGAUUUAAAAGGGUAUAGCGUCUAUGUUCUACCCUUACCUCAGCCAAAAUUAGAAGAUUAGCCAAGUGGCACUACAGCUGAAAGAACACUUAGAGAAGAGGAGGACAGUGAGACAGAAACUAAAGAAAUGGUUCACAGAAACUGACCCAAUGGCAAGAGCACUGACAGAAAAUUAUUUGUACAGUGGAAGAUCUUGACACACGGUUGAUAGAAGGAUGAUGAUAUCUGCAUGUAAGAUAGGCACAAUAUGUAAGCAUUAUGUGUCUUUUUGUAUAUUCCUGUUUUUCCCAUGUACAUGUCAUUAAUCGAAGCUUAAAUAUGCAUAAACACAUGAAAAUGAAUUGUCAUAUAUGCUGAAUAUAAUUGCUGAGUCAGAAAGCUCUCAUACUCCAGGACUUGAAGAAAUUUUAGUCCAGAUAAAGAGCAAGGGUAGUCAUAACAAAGUCAGAAUGAAAAUAUAUUCUAUUGGACUGAGACUUUGCUAUUAUUGACUGAAGCAUUUUAGAGUUUCUAUUAAGAGCUGAGGAUUUCCAUUUAAUGAAUUUGACAAGACAUACAAGAGUGGUCAAGAAUUUUAAACCAAGGGCUUUUCUGUCUCUGCUCUUAAGUUUGUUACAAGAAAAGCUUUAAUUAUACAUCUCGCCUCUUAUCUCACUGUAUUUCACCACAAAAUUGAGACAGAACAUCAUCUGGAGUUAUUUCUAAGCCAUGUCCAUGAAGCAGUAUCCAUGCAGGGCAGAUGAAGUUCUUCAUGUCCCUACUUUUCCCCUCUCCCUUUCCAACAUCCCUAUUUCACUAGAGGUUUGUUCUUCAUCAAUAAUUUAAGUAUUUUAACAUUUUGAGAAGAUCAAACAGUUUUACUACCUUAAAUUUUUUAAGCCUCUUCAUUGUGGUAAGAAGCUCAUGUUCUCAGUGGAAGCUUAAACCAAAGACCAUUAUUUGAAAGUAAAAUAUUGAAAAUGUUGUUUUCAGAAUGUGACCCACAAAACACAUACAGUGUCUUAAUAUGAAGCACUGAUUAUUCAACAGGAAAACACAUUCCUUGUAUGAGAUGUUUUUUGGCUGUGGGUCCAAGAAAUCAAUGUUGCAGCAUAAUUUCUCUGAAGGUGCAGUAGAAUGCAAGGAAUAGUUAGAAAUGUUUAAGAACCAGAGAGUUUUGCCCUUCAAAUAUAUCUUCUGGCCACAUAAAAUGACCAUAUGAGAAAAUUAUUUGCUUCAGCAGUGCAUGUGAGUUACUCUGCUUCUUCACAGCUGACUGGUUCUUUGAAAUGGUCAGUCUCCAGACAGAAGGAGAAAAUGAGUUGAGAGCAAAUGAUUACACCAGCAGUCUGAGCUAAUCAAAUAGAAGUGAAAAUAUUUACCUUCUUAAACUCAGUCCCUAUGAUACAAACGAGGUAAAAGACUUAGGGGAGGCAAAAAUAAAUAAUAUUAUGGAAAAUACUAAUUAAUAUGUGUUGUAGCCACGUAGAAAUUUCAAUUCCCUUUUUAUUGGAUUUUUUUCAGUUUAAGGACCAGCAGUGGAUAUGAUAUGUAUGUUUCAGUGAGAAUGGGUAUUUUAAUAAAAGGACUAGAGCCUUGUGAUCAAAGAAAAAAUGUUACUUGUAAUAAGAAACUUAUUUUUGAUUCAACAGCAAGCUUUAAGUGCACUAAAAUACUCAAAGAGCAGCUGUACACUUAUCUGCUUACAUGUCAAUGGGUAAAAAGAUCUCAUAAAUUCAGUGCUGUUACUUCAGUACAAAAUUGUUUUGAGGAGAGAGAUCAGGUAUGUAAUUUCACAUAAAUAGUUUUUAUUUGUAGUAGAACCAUGUGACCCAUAGAAGAAAGUACACUUGUGGAUCAUUUAACACGGCCAUCUGUACAUUUCUUAAGAAGGAAACUUUCACCGUAGUACAACUUUUGUUCAGGAUAUCAAUCUGGUUAUUAUGUCUUGGCUUAAUUCACUCUCACAAUAAGAUCACACUUGCACUUGGCAGAUGAAAUAAGGAAUAAUGAGGUACUUAGAGAAAUUAGAUUUCUACAUUAUAAUAUAAUCAGAUUUUAAUGAAACAAGUAAUAUAUAGCAUUCAAACCAUUUUAGUUUGUGAUAAACCUUACUGAAUUAGCACAAGAUUUGUUUUGGUGGUCAUGAAGAACAUGAAAUGAUUUAUUCUUUGAAGUAAAAUUCUGCUCUAUCUGCGUGAAAUCUAUUACAACAUUAUAUACAGCUUUUAUUAUUUCUCUCCUAUUGGAUAAUUGGAGGUCUGUGGUAUUAUUUAAAGUGAUGAA